UACGAAGGGGGCUAGCGUUGUUCGGAUUUACUGGGCGUAAAGCGCACGUAGGCGGAUCGUUAAGUCGGGGGUGAAAUCCUGGAGCUCAACUCCAGAACUGCCUUCGAUACUGGCGAUCUUGAGUCCGGAAGAGGUGAGUGGAAUUCCUAGUGUAGAGGUGGAAUUCGUAGAUAUUAGGAAGAACACCAGUGGCGAAGGCG
rnacentral:rRNA from 1 species